UUAUAACUCUGUACAUAGAUGUAGCAUUCUGUUGCUUAACAAAAAUAAUGAUUGCAUGUAUGCCUGCAGAUGCUACACCCAUAAAAGAAAAAAGUGGACAAUUUUGACAAAUCUCAGUAGGGUGUAACCAUCAAUGUUGAGCCUCCUUCUAUAUCUGCACCAUCUUUGUUCAUAAGUAAUUGAAAUGUAGAGUUAAAAAAAAUAUAAUAGAAAAAUGAGUCACCUAAAAGUGGAUUUAAAAAGACUCGCAUGGAAAUGUCAACUCGCAUGGAAAUGUCACGAGGAUUGCUUCCAAUCUUCCGAAACUGAAGCAUGCAUCAUCAUCAAUUCACUUUCAUAUUUCAGGGUCAUUUGGACACAUCAAUGGAACACCAAUUACUUAUAUAAGGUUCAUGUUU
rnacentral:lncRNA from 1 species